GCCUCUAUAGCCUAGUGGCUUGCGUAUUAGACUGGGACUCCGAUGGUUGUUGGUUCAAUUGCCAGUGUAGCCU